rnacentral:rRNA from 1 species
GAUGAACGCUGCGGCGUGCCUAAUACAUGCAAGUAGAACGCUGAAGCUUGGUGCUUGCACCGAGCGGAUGAGUUGCGAACGGGUGAGUAACGCGUAGGUAACCUGCCUCUUAGCGGGGGAUAACUAUAGGAAACGAUAGCUAAUACCGCAUAAAAGUCAUAUCGCAGAAGUUGACUUGAAAGGUGCAAUUGCAUCACUAAGAGAUGGACCUGCGUUGUAUUAGCUAGUUGGUGAGGUAACGGCUCACCAAGGCGACGAUACAUAGCCGACCUGAGAGGGUGAUCGGCCACACUGGGACUGAGACACGGCCCAGACUCCUACGGGAGGCAGCAGUAGGGAAUCUUCGGCAAUGGGGGCAACCCUGACCGAGCAACGCCGCGUGAGUGAAGAAGGUUUUCGGAUCGUAAAGCUCUGUUGUAAGAGAAGAACGAGUGUGAGAGUGGAAAGUUCACACUGUGACGGUAACUUACCAGAAAGGGACGGCU